GAAAAAGGAGCAGAGAGAUAACGGAACGGCGAUGGAGGACGCGAUGAAGGCCUUGAGCAAGGCGAGCCGCGACCUCGUCCAGCACCAGCACGAUCAGGAGUCCCGGCGUUCCUACCAGAGCAAAACCCUAAAGAUCAAGAUCGAUUAACUCGUCUUGUUGUUUGUUCUGGAUUUGGAUUUUUAUCCCUUUGAUCUGCAGGCGAAUCCGUGCAAUCGGCUCGAGGAGAUCUGCCGCGAACUCCGCACGGAUUUAAUCGACAAAGCAAGAAAAUGUUCGUAGCAGGGGUUACUGGCUUCUUCUGGUCCUUCCUCCAUGAGCACAUAAAUUGAAUCUGAUGACAUGGCAUGCACAAAUUUGAACUAGGUGUGCUUGACCCUUCAGAAGGAAGCAAAAUAAAUGUGUUAUGGAGGCCUUUAGAGGAUAAACCAUGUAUUUGGUACAUCGAGUGUUUCCACGAUGUUGUGAAGAGUUUUUUUGAAGUACCUGAUUAAUGAAAACAGCACUAGGCUUCCUCACCUAUCAGAUUUCAAAAUAGAGCGAGCUUAUUGCUAAUCUUGUUCUUGAUUUUGUUUGUUGACCCGCCAUAAACUUGGAGGUGGCAAUGGAUCUGGUCAAAUAUACCAACCUGUGGUUCCACCAGUGCUUCCAAUCACUUGGCAGGUUUGCCGUUGGGUACUUAUUAUACUUAGCUAGAUGCUUCAACCUUCACAUGUGUUUUCUUCUUUAUGAUUGAGAAUUCUGCAGUGCUUAACUUGUACAUUACUGUUGCAAACCAGGUGACCGAACUCACUGUUUGUAGUGGGUGAUAACCAGUCGCUCCACAAAAGUUUUGCUUGACUAUGGCAAGAGGUUACCAAGAGACCACCAAAUAAAAGUUCCCCACAGUUAUCGCAACAAAAAGC